UCCACAGGGCAGCGCGCCGGCUAACGGCCGGGGGGAUCCGUUGGAAAGCGGGUUCUACGGAAAGUGCCACAGAAAAUAUACCGCCUCCGGCGCAAGCCUUGGGGUAAGGGUGAAAAGGUGCGGUAAGAGCGCACCGCGGCUCGAUCAAUCGGGCCGGCAGGGAAAACCCCGCGCGGA
rnacentral:RNase_P_RNA from 1 species